CCAAUACGGACGUGUUUUUAAAGCGCUCUGAAAAAAGUUUUGACUUUUAAAUUUUUUUUACUAUGACAGAAUCUUAGUUGACUGAUGGUCUUUGACAAAGACAGACUUGUUUUUGUGAGCUAUGAAAAAAAUUUGACUUUGAAAUAUUUUUACGAUUAAAAAGUUUCAGUUCACUUUUGAACGUUGACGAAGACGGACGUACUUUCGUGAGCUCUGACUAUUGAUGAAAAGUUUUGAGUUUUACUGACUUGUACUUUGAGAGUAAAAUUGACUUCGCGUUAUAGAAUAGCGACUUGGUACUCAGGUUGUUGAAUGACUGGAUGACUGAAGUGUUAGGUUAUUGUUAUGAGAUAACAACUUGACUUUGACUUGAGUUGUGAAAUGAAAUCAUACUCUUAUGCGAUGUUAACUUUUGAACGUUUAGUAUUGACUGACAACGAAAUUUUGUGAGCGUUAUAUAUGAAAUGUUUGACUUACAUUAAUUUUUUUGAACGACUUGACUUCACUUUAAGUUUUGACAUCGGACUGAUCGGACGUGUUUUUUUAAGCUCUGACUGUUGUGAAUAAUUAAAUUUAUGUUGUGGUGUCAAGCGAUUGACUGUCAGUUGAGGUUCAGAUGUCGAGCUGUGCGGACGUGUUCAUCGAGCUGCUGUCUACAAAAAACACUUACAUUGCUGUGACUGUUCCACAGUGGGUCAAAAAAGAGACGAAUACAGGCUUCAAGAAGAAAAUUGGCUGUUGAAAACCUGCACAAAAUAUGAGGUAAGUAAACUAUUCUUUUGGUUUGUUUUGUGCUUUGUUAUGCUUAACUAUUUUUCAGAUUGGAAUGGUGGGUCGUUACAGAGCAGACUUUUGGACAACUGAGAAGUUGAGAAACAGAGAAUGAUUCAAGAUCAGCUAGGUAAGUCUUGAUUAUUGUGCAUUGCUAAAUGUUUUUUUUCAUUCCAGUAUGGCUGUGGUAAGUACACAAACUUUCUAUAAUUUAAUAUUGAACUGUUUUUAUGACCUGUAUUCUGCAUUGUAAAAUGUCUGUUUUUCAUUUCAGUAUCCUGUGGUAAGUACACUAACUUUCUUUAAUUUUCAUAUUGAACUGUUUUGAUGACUUGUAUACUACUAUGCAAUGCCUAAUGUUUUUUUCAUUUCAGUAGCCUGUUGGUAAGUACACUAACUUUCUAUAAUUUCAUAGUGAAUUGUUUUGAUGACCUGUAUUCUGCAUUGUAAAAUGUGUUUCUUUUUCAUUUCAGUAUGGCUGUGGUAAGUACAAUUGCCUUUCAUAUUGAACUGAUUUGAUGACCUGUAUUUUGCAUUGUAAAAUGUGUUUCUUUUUCAUUUCAGUAUGGCUGUGGUAAGUACACAAACUUUCUUUAAUUUUCAUAUUGAACUGUUUUGAUGACUUGUAUUCUACUAUGCAAUGCUUAAUGUAUUUUUUUCAGUAGCCUGUUGGUAAGUACAAUUGCCUUCUUUAAUUUUCAUAUUGAACUGUUUUGAUGAUGUGUAUACUGCUAUGCAAUGCUUAAUGUUUUUUUCAUUUCAGUAUGGCUGUGGUAAGUACACAAACUUUCUUUAAUUUUCAUAUUGAACUGUUUUGAUGACCUGUAUUUUGCAUUGUAAAAUGUGUUUCUUUUUCAUUUCAGUAUGGCUGUGGUAAGUACACUAACUUUCUUUAAUUUUCAUAUUGAACUGUUUUGAUGACUUGUAUUCUGCUAAACAAAAUGUGCUUUUUUCAAUUUCAGGUCAGCAAUGGUAAGUAGAUUGUGUUUCUUUAUGUAUAAUUGUGUAUACAAAGUUUUUUUUUUCAUCAUAGCAUGUCUUUUAUAUUUAUGCUUCGUGUAAGUAAAAUGUUCAUAAAUCAUUCUUAUCUUCAAACUAAAAUGUAUUGUGCUAUGCAAAAUAUCUGUAUGUUUUCAGUUGCCAGAGGUGAGUACCAUUACAGUUGAAAAGUUAGUUUUGUUUAGUUAAAGUUUUGGUUCACAGUUCUGUUUGUUAUUUGGCAAAAUUUACAUGUAUGCAUUGAGUCUUGAUUUCAGCUCGAUUGUGGACUGAAGAAGAUUGCCAGCAGAGGGAUUGGAUACAAAAUACAAAGUAAGUACUGAGUUUCUUACUAAAAGUUUUGAGUUGUAUUCAUUGUGUGUUAAUAUGCUAUGAUUGCUAUGAACAUGACUUUUGUAUUUCAGCGAAGACAACAUAGGUAAGUAAAAUUGUUAUCUGUUUCAUGUUUACUGUUACAGUUCAAUAUUGUGUUUAUAAAUUGUAAGUUGUACAAACACAUUCAAAAGUUUCUAAUCAUGCUUUCGAUUUCAUUUCAGCUUUACUGCUAGACGAGUGUUCUCUACUACUUGACGAGUCAGCUUUACUACCAGGCGAGCAGUGACAACAAGGCGCCUUUGUGGAAACAACACAACAAAAAACUGUACUGCUAGACGAGCAGUGACAGAAAGGCGCCUGAACAUGCAACACAAAACAAAAAAUGCCAAUUUGCAAACCUUGAUGUGGAAACCGAGUAGUCAAUACAUACGUGUGGCGUAUAGCUGCGACAAAACCGUGGGUCCAUCGCACCGAUAACUUGAACAUUGGCCCGUGUAUGGACAUCAGUGCAACUUUGUGAAUCCAUGUAACUUUGUGAAUCCAUGUAACAUUGCGAAUGUGUGUCGAUCGAAAAAUGUGAACAUUAUGCAAUGAAACGAACUCGGUGUUGCAAGUGGCAAGUGUUGACAGUGUGCAUGUUUAUGUUUAUGCUUUUACAUGAAAAAUAAAGGAGAUUGUUCUCCUACCUUUUUUUUUCCUUGUUUUAUUGUGCUGGCCAGCAAUAUUGAUGUAUUGAUGUAUUGAUGUAUGUGUUUGUGUAUUAACGAUGUAUUAACUAUGCAUUACCAAAAUCUAACAAAACUUUGGCACAAGAGACUCUAAGUAUCAAAUACCAACAAUUUAGACGCAGACAAUCACAUGGUGGUACACCAGUCCGAAUAUACUCAUUGCUCUAGCCAGGAUUGCAAAUUACUUGUGUUGACUAGCAAGGCUCCCUAGUAACGGAGCAGUGUUACUGGCGUUUUUUGGGUCGAUAGUGCUUAGGUGAGGUUUUGCUCGAAUCGGGAGCGGGUCACUCGCUUGGGCGAGUUAGUUUUCGCUCGUAGUUUCCAAUCUGGCUAGAUCAAUGUAAGGUUGUUUUGACUGCUAUUUGGCAAGCAGAAAGACAACAGCGGUUAAUUGACUGAGUAUGGGCGACCGAGGUAUGUAGGUGUCAAUAGACCGACUCCACAAGUUGCGAAGCGAACCGAUAGCACUUGAGGGGAAACGCCUCGGUUUUCGGUUCUAACAUGUGUUAUCCAUGCUGUCGUUAUACUCUGGCAAGGCUCCUCAAUCUAUCGCGAGGGACACUCAUUAUUGCCCGCAAGCUUUAGAACCUGACGUGGGUCGAUGCGUAUGCGAGUCCGAGGACGCGAUGGCAUUUGAUAAGGCUACCAACCGGUUGAUAACACGCAUUGUUCAAAUUGUUAGGUUUAAGUCUGCUAGGGCUGGGGUGGGAA